rnacentral:rRNA from 1 species
UACGUAGGGUGCAAGCGUUAAUCGGAAUUACUGGGCGUAAAGCGUGCGCAGGCGGUUAUGCAAGACAGAUGUGAAAUCCCCGGGCUCAACCUGGGAACUGCAUUUGUGACUGCAUCGCUGGAGUGCGGCAGAGGGGGAUGGAAUUCCGCGUGUAGCAGUGAAAUGCGUAGAUAUGCGGAGGAACACCGAUGGCGAAGGCAAUCCCCUGGACCUGUACUGACGCUCAUGCACGAAAGCGUGGGGAGCAAACAGG